rnacentral:lncRNA from 1 species
UCAAAAUUGGAUCCCUAGCUAUGAAAUGGGCAGCGAGAUAUGGUAGGAAAAAACGGCAUGAUAACUUUCGAAGUUUUUAUUUCUUUUCAUCUUUGCCUCUGGUUUUCAGGAGUUACAACUUCUCAAUUAUGUCAUCCAAAUGCAUUGGUAAGGUUUUCAUUUUCAUCUCAUUUUUUCAUAUUAUCAUACAUUUUUCAGUUUUUUUAUGUCAUUUUUCAUAUUGCCAUACUUGUGUUUUUCACAAUUGUUAAAACUAAAAUUUCAAUUUACUUAAUUAAAACAAACCAGAAUGAAGCUAACUUGCUCUGCUUUAUAAAUUGCUAGUCAUUUAGAAGGUGCUUUACCAUCUUCGAGAAACUGAAAACUUGUAGUUCCACAUUGUAAAUGUUAAAAGCAUAGUUUAUGAACAUAAAAUGGAAAUUUGUUCUAUAGUUGUGGUAGUCUUCUUAUUAUUUUUCUCAUAUCCAUUCCCCUGUUGUGUCUGUGUUCUUUUGUAGGUAUAGAAUAUAUUGUCUAAGAAGGAAAUUCUCCAUAUUAAUUGAUUUGGAGGAAAAUUGAAUGGCAACUGGAGAGAUUUCAAUACAGUAGCAAAAAGAUCCUGCUUUGGAGUUGAUAAAAUAUCCAUAAACAGCCCAAAUUAAUAGGAUCAUACACAAAAUAUAUAUGUAAUUAGCUCGUAAAAGUAUGUCAUUUUAGAGUAUUAUCAAUAGGGGUUAGUGGUAGGUGCCCAAAUUUAGAUAUUAAGAUUCAUACUUAAAUUAUUCAGCCUAAUUGUUUAGUUUCUAACAUCGGUGCUUAUAUGUUAUCAACUCAUGAUUACAUGAUUUCAUGUUAAUUAGAAAGAUUGGUUUCUCUUAUAACCUUUGCUUUUAUGUUGAUUUAGGAGUAGGUGUUUCCUAUUUGUUGUGAGAUUCGAUACUCAACAGAACUUGCAGAUUAUGGAUGGUUCUGAUAUCCUCUUUCUCACCAACAAAACAAGUUCCCAUGAAAUUUCUGGUAUUAAAGUCAAGUUUGUGACCAAUGCAAAAUAUUUUUAGCCAAUAAUGAGUUGGAGCUUUAGCCAUAUGAGGAAGA